rnacentral:rRNA from 1 species
CAGCAGCCACGGUAAAACGAAGGGGGCUAGCGUUGCUCGGAAUGACUGGGCGUAAAGGGCGCGUAGGCGGUCACGAUAGUCAGAUGUGAAAUUCCUGGGCUUAACCUGGGGACUGCAUUUGAUACUGUGUGGCUUGAGUGUGGAAGAGGGUCGUGGAAUUCCCAGUGUAGAGGUGAAAUUCGUAGAUAUUGGGAAGAACACCGGUGGCGAAGGCGGCGACCUGGUCCAUAACUGACGCUGAGGCGCGAAAGCGUGGGGAGCAAACAGGAUUAGAUACCCCAGUAGUCCCUGUCUCUUAUAC